AACGAACGCUGGCGGCAUGCCUAACACAUGCAAGUCGAACGAGACCUUCGGGUCUAGUGGCGCACGGGUGCGUAACGCGUGGGAACCUGCCUUUAGGUUCGGAAUAACUCAGAGAAAUUUGAGCUAAUACCGGAUGAUGUCUUCGGACCAAAGAUUUAUCGCCUUUAGAUGGGCCCGCGUUGGAUUAGCUAGUUGGUGGGGUAAAGGCCUACCAAGGCGACGAUCCAGAGCUGGUCUGAGAGGAUGAUCAGCCACACUGGGACUGAGACACGGCCCAGACUCCUACGGGAGGCAGCAGUGGGGAAUAUUGGACGAUGGGCGAAAGCCUGAUCCAGCAAUGCCGCGUGAGUGAUGAAGGCCUUAGGGUUGUAAAGCUCUUUUACCCGAGAUGAUAAUGACAGUAUCGGGAGAAUAAGCUCCGGCUAACUCCGUG
rnacentral:rRNA from 1 species